GAUGAACGCUGGCGGCGUGCUUAACACAUGCAAGUCGAACGAAGCACUUUAUUUGAUUUCCUUCGGGACUGAUUAUUUUGUGACUGAGUGGCGGACGGGUGAGUAACGCGUGGGUAACCUGCCUUGUACAGGGGGAUAACAGUUGGAAGCGGCUGCUAAUACCGCAUAAGCGCACGGCAUCGCAUGAUGCAGUGUGAAAAACUCCGGUGGUAUAAGAUGGACCCGCGUUGGAUUAGCUAGUUGGUGAGGUAACGGCCCACCAAGGCGACGAUCCAUAGCCGACCUGAGAGGGUGACCGGCCACAUUGGGACUGAGACACGGCCCAAACUCCUACGGGAGGCAGCAGUGGGGAAUAUUGCACAAUGGGCGAAAGCCUGAUGCAGCGACGCCGCGUGAGCGAAGAAGUAUUUCGGUAUGUAAAGCUCUAUCAGCAGGGAAGAUAAUGACGGUACCUGACUAAGAAGCACCGGCUAAAUACGUG
rnacentral:rRNA from 1 species